rnacentral:rRNA from 1 species
AUGGGCUUGGAUUCCCUCUUCCUGAUGAGGCCUGCCAUGGGAUGGUUCAAAACUCAUGCCUUUGUGAUAAUGGCUAACCUGUUUCUCUUUGCACCAUACAUGUCAGAUUACAGAACCACUGUGAAGCGGCUCUACCUCUGCGGCAGCGGUGCGCACCCAGGCGGUGGGGAGCCCUGGCACACCGGCCACCUCAACCGCAACCGCAACGCUGCUGCCAUGGUUUUGGAUGAUCUCAAGGCAACAUAG